rnacentral:tRNA from 1 species
UCUAAGGAUGAUCUUAGCAGCAAGACUUUUGUCUUACUCGUAGAUCACUUAGCAUGAUAUGUCCUUUGCAUAUCAACACAUCAGUUCAUCUUUUGAUGGACUUGGGCCGAGCCGUCCUCAUAUCUCUUCAGACAUUGCAAGCCUUGAGCUUGUAUAAACCGCCUGAUUGGACCACCACCGGCCCUUUCGGCAGACUUGCUUUGCAGGUCACCUGUCGGGCGUUGUUGAUCUUGCUUUGCAAGAUCCACUGGGUCGGUAGCUCAGGUGGUUAGAGCGCACGCCUGAUAAGCGUGAGGUCGGAGGUUCAAGUCCUCCUCGACCCACCAUGGAUUACCCUUAAAAGGCGUUAGCUCAGCUGGGAGAGCACCUGCUUUGCAAGCAGGGGGUCAUCGGUUCGAUCCCGAUACGCUCCACCAAGGACUUAAGUUUGAAAGUUAAGCAACUUGUGUUGUUUUGCUGUCCAACUUGGACUUUGUUCAGUCUUCGGACUGACUUGACAUCGUAAAGAGAGAUACAAACAUCAGAAUUACUGAUGCACCGAGUAAGGUGUAUCGUGAUGUUGUUUGGCAUCGCGUGAGAUGGGUAUGAGUGAUCAUAUCUGUUUUAUAUGGUGCCUUUUAUGGCAACAGUUCACAAAGUAAUUUUGUUCCAAGUUAAGUACAAUUAUACCUGAGCAAAUCCGCAAGGUUUUGCUCAUCGUCGCUGCUCUAUCCGGGCAGUGGCGGCACGAAUGUUGCCCCCUCUUUGAACCAGCGGGGGCCCAUGGGAAUAAUUUUGUAUGACUUUUGGUUCAGAAUUUAGUCAUCUUCGGAUGAUGUUGGCAGGACACGCAAAAGGCCUGUCUUCUUCUG